UACAGAGGUCUCAAGCGUUGUUCGGAUUCAUUGGGCGUAAAGGGUGCGUAGGUGGCGCUGUAAGUCGGGUGUGAAAUUUCGGAGCUUAACUCCGAAACUGCAUUCGAUACUGCGGUGCUUGAGGACUGGAGAGGAGACUGGAAUUUAUGGUGUAGCAGUGAAAUGCGUAGAGAUCAUAAGGAAGACCAGUGGCGAAGGCGGGUCUCUGGACAGUUACUGACACUGAGGCUCGAAGGCCAGGGGAGCAAACGGG
rnacentral:rRNA from 1 species